rnacentral:rRNA from 1 species
UACGAAGGGGGCUAGCGUUGUUCGGAAUCACUGGGCGUAAGGCGCACGUAGGCGGACCGUUAAGUCGGAGGUGAAAGCCUGGGGCUCAACCCCAGAACUGCCUUCGAUACUGGCGGUCUUGAGUAUGGUAGAGGUUGGUGGAACUCCGAGUGUAGAGGUGAAAAUUCGUAGAUAUUCGGAAGAACACCAGUGGCGAAGGCGGCCAACUGGACCAUUACUGACGCUGAGGUGGCGAAAGCGUGGGGAGCAAACAGG